UACGUAGGGUGCAAGCGUUGUCCGGAAUUAUUGGGCGUAAAGAGCUCGUAGGCGGUGUGUCGCGUCUGCUGUGAAAACUCAGGGCUCAACUCUGAGCUUGCAGUGGGUACGGGCACACUAGAGUGCUGUAGGGGAGACUGGAAUUCCUGGUGUAGCGGUGAAAUGCGCAGAUAUCAGGAGGAACACCGGUGGCGAAGGCGGGUCUCUGGGCCGAUACUGACGCUGAGGAGCGAAAGCAUGGGUAGCGAACAGG
rnacentral:rRNA from 1 species